AGAGUUUGAUCAUGGCUCAGAACGAACGCUGGCGGCGUGCCUAACACAUGCAAGUCGAGCGAGAAAGGGGCUUCGCCGAGUAAAGCGGCGCACGGGUGCGUAACACGUGGGUAAUCUUCCUCCGGGUUGGGAAUAACUCUUCGAAAGGAGAGCUAAUACCGAAUAAGCCCACGGCCUCUUAGGAGGCUGUGGGGAAAGGUGGCCUCUGCAUGCNGCUAUCGCCUGGAGAUGAGCCCGCGGCCCAUCAUGCUAGUUGGCGGGGUAACGGCCCACCAAGGCUACGACGGGUAGCUGGUCUGAGAGAACGAUCAGCCACACUGGAACUGAGACACGGUCCAGACUCCUACGGGAGGCAGCAGUGGGGAAUCUUGCGCAAUGGGCGAAAGCCUGACGCAGCAACGCCGCGUGAGUGAUGAAGGCCUUCGGGUCGUAAAGCUCUUUCAGGAGGGACGAAACCGUUCCGGGAUAAUAAACCGGAGCCUUGACGGUACCUUCAGAAGAAGCACCGGCUAACUCUGUGCCAGCAGCCGCGGUAAUACAGAGGGUGCAAGCGUUGUUCGGAAUUAUUGGGCGUAAAGCGCGUGUAGGCGGCAAGGCAUGUCGGGUGUGAAAGCCCUCGGCUUAACCGAGGAAGUGCGCCCGAAACUACUUUGCUUGAGUACCGGAGAGGAUGGCGGAACUCCCGGUGUAGAGGUGAAAUUCGUAGAUAUCGGGAAGAACACCAGUGGCGAAGGCGGCCAUCUGGACGGAUACUGACGCUGAGCGCGAAAGCGUGGGGAGCAAACAGGAUUAGAUACCCUAGUAGUCC
rnacentral:rRNA from 1 species